CAUAGAAAAUGCAGUUCUGACAGUUGUCAUUUUUAUGCGUUUUUGCUGUGCAGCGCUAUAGCAGCGCUGCACAGCAAAAACGCAUAAAAAUGACAACUGUCAGAACACAC
rnacentral:pre_miRNA from 1 species